GCAUGGAGAAUGGCAACAUGGAUCUGGCCAGCCAGGAGAAGGAGCGGCUGGAGGAGAAGCAGAGAGAAGCACGGAGGGAGCGGGCCAAGGAGGAGGCAGAGUGGCAGACGAGGUGGUUCUACCCAGGCAAUAACCCCUACACUGGGACCCCCGACUGGUUGUAUGCAGGGGAUUACUUUGAGCGGAAUUUCUCCGACUGCCCAGAUAUCUACUGAGGGCCUGGAGGGGCCUGGGGCCCGGGACCGGAGGCUGACGAGGCUGGACUUCCUCGAGUGGCCACUGUGAGCCUCGUCACAGCAGAAACCAACUUUUCUAACGACUGAGUUCGCGGAGAUAGCAUCAUCCCUGAUCAAGGAUGUAAUUCUAAUUAACUGUUGAUUGCCAAACAUUUCACUCUGCUGUGCCGUCUCUUCAUAAAGCUUCACUUGGGAUCAUCGUCUUCAUUAAGGUUUCAACAGGGAAAUUCUUCACGGCGCCCUUUUAUGUGGCAGAAAUCAGCUGGGGCUUGUUUAGCUUCCAGCACACUCUCAGUCAUAGCAUGUGUAGCUAAAGGAAGUAAUGGGAAGGGGUUCAUGUUCUCUUUAUAAUGCAGUGGCAAAAGGUUCUGAAAGCCUUUUAAACUCGAACCAGUGGGGGAAAGAUGGAUCUUGAAGCUAAUCCUGCAGAGAGUUUUAUAGAGGCCAGGGAUUGCCUUCUAAAUUAUGAUAAAACAGAAGUGAAGAGUUUCAGAGCAUCAGAUUGAGUGAAAAGUUGUCAGAUUCUGUAUUUUUUAACAAUCUUCAAUAAUGUAAAGAUUACUUUUAAAAUAUUUAAGUUAAAACUACUUGAAUAGUAUUUUGCUGAAGAGCAAGAUAUGCAUUAAUCACCGGUUUUAUACUGUCC
rnacentral:lncRNA from 1 species